rnacentral:rRNA from 1 species
GACGAACGCUGGCGGCGUGCCUAAUACAUGCAAGUAGGACGCAGUUGCGAACGGGUGAGUAACGCGUAGGUAACUACCUAUUAGAGGGGGAUAACUACUGGAAACGGUAGCUAAUACCGCAUACUAGUAGAUGGACCUGCUUUGUAUUAGCUAGUAGGUAGGGUAAUGGCCUACCUAGGCAACGAUACAUAGCCGACCUGAGAGGGUGAACGGCCAAACGGGGACUGAGACACGGCCCAGACUCCUACGGGAGGCAGCAAUAGGGAAUCUUCGGCAAUGGGGGGAACCCUGACGGAGCAACGCCGCGGGAGGGAUGAAGGUCGUCGGGUCGUAAAACUCUGUUAUUAGGGAAGCGGUACCUAAUCAGAAAGCCACGGCUAACUACGUGCCAGCAGCCGCGGUAAUUCC